rnacentral:rRNA from 1 species
GAAUGCUGACAUAAGUAACGAUAAAGCGGGUGAAAAGCCCGCUCGCCGGAAGACCAAGGGUUCCUGUCCAACGUUAAUCGGGGCAGGGUGAGUCGACCCCUAAGGCGAGGCCGAAAGGCGUAGUCGAUGGGAAACGGGUUAAUAUUCCCGUACUUGGUGUUACUGCGAAGGGGGGACGGAGAAGGCUAUGUUGGCCGGGCGACGGUUGUCCCGGUUUAAGCGUGUAGGUGUGUGUUCCAGGUAAAUCCGGUUCACUUUAACACUGAGGCGUGAUGACGAGGCACUACGGUGCUGAAGCAACAAAUGCCCUGCUUCCAGGAAAAGCCUCUAAGCAUCAGGUAACAUCAAAUCGUACCCCAAACCGACACAGGUGGUCAGGUAGAGAAUACCAAGGCGCUUGAGAGAACUCGGGUGAAGGAACUAGGCAAAAUGGUGCCGUAACUUCGGGAGAAGGCACGCUGACAUGUAGGUGAAGUGAUUUACUCAUGGAGCUGAAGUCAGUCGAAGAUACCAGCUGGCUGCAACUGUUUAUUAAAAACACAGCACUGUGCAAACACGAAAGUGGACGUAUACGGUGUGACGCCUGCCCGGUGCCGGAAGGUUAAUUGAUGGGGUCAGCGCAAGCGAAGCUCCUGAUCGAAGCCCCGGUAAACGGCGGCCGUAACUAUAACGGUCCUAAGGUAGCGAAAUUCCUUGUCGGGUAAGUUCCGACCUGCACGAAUGGCGUAAUGAUGGCCAGGCUGUCUCCACCCGAGACUCAGUGAAAUUGAACUCGCUGUGAAGAUGCAGUGUACCCGCGGCAAGACGGAAAGACCCCGUGAACCUUUACUAUAGCUUGACACUGAACAUUGAGCCUUGAUGUGUAGGAUAGGUGGGAGGCUUUGAAGCGUGGACGCCAGUCUGCGUGGAGCCGGCCUUGAAAUACCACCCUUUAAUGUUUGAUGUUCUAACGUGGACCCGUGAUCCGGGUUGCGGACAGUGUCUGGUGGGUAGUUUGACUGGGGCGGUCUCCUCCUAAAGAGUAACGGAGGAGCACGAAGGUUGGCUAAUCCUGGUCGGACAUCAGGAGGUUAGUGCAAUGGCAUAAGCCAGCUUGACUGCGAGCGUGACGGCGCGAGCAGGUGCGAAAGCAGGUCAUAGUGAUCCGGUGGUUCUGAAUGGAAGGGCCAUCGCUCAACGGAUAAAAGGUACUCCGGGGAUAACAGGCUGAUACCGCCCAAGAGUUCAUAUCGACGGCGGUGUUUGGCACCUCGAUGUCGGCUCAUCACAUCCUGGGGCUGAAGUAGGUCCCAAGGGUAUGGCUGUUCGCCAUUUAAAGUGGUACGCGAGCUGGGUUUAGAACGUCGUGAGACAGUUCGGUCCCUAUCUGCCGUGGGCGCUGGAGAACUGAGGGGGGCUGCUCCUAGUACGAGAGGACCGGAGUGGACGCAUCACUGGUGUUCGGGUUGUCAUGCCAAUGGCACUGCCCGGUAGCUAAAUGCGGAAGAGAUAAGUGCUGAAAGCAUCUAAGCACGAAACUUGCCCCGAGAUGAGUUCUCCCUGAGACUUUAGGUCUCCUGAAGGAACGUUGAAGACGACGACGUUGAUAGGCCGGGUGUGUAAGC